UUGAACGCUGGCGGCAGGCCUAACACAUGCAAGUCGAGCGGAUGAAGGGAGCUUGCUCCUGGAUUCAGCGGCGGACGGGUGAGUAAUGCCUAGGAAUCUGCCUGGUAGUGGGGGAUAACGUCCGGAAACGGGCGCUAAUACCGCAUACGUCCUGAGGGAGAAAGUGGGGGAUCUUCUGACCUCACGCUAUCAGAUGAGCCUAGGUCGGAUUAGCUAGUUGGUGGGGUAAAGGCCUACCAAGGCGACGAUCCGUAACUGGUCUGAGAGGAUGAUCAGUCACACUGGAACUGAGACACGGUCCAGACUCCUACGGGAGGCAGCAGUGGGGAAUAUUGGACAAUGGGCGAAAGCCUGAUCCAGCCAUGCCGCGUGUGUGAAGAAGGUCUACGGAUUGUAAAGCACUUUAAGUUGGGAGGAAGGGCAGUAAGUUAAUACCUUGCUGUUUUGACGUUACCAACAGAAUAAGCACCGGCUAACUUCGUG
rnacentral:rRNA from 1 species